rnacentral:rRNA from 1 species
AACGAACGCUGGCGGCAUGCCUAACACAUGCAAGUCGAACGAGACCUUCGGGCCUAGUGGCGCACGGGUGCGUAACGCGUUGGAACCUGCCUUUAGGUUCGCAAUAACUCAGAGAAAUUUGAGCUAAUACCGGAUGAUGUCUUCGGACCAAAGAUUUAUCGACUUUAGAUGGGCCCCCGUGGGAUUAGCUAGUGGGUGGGGUAAAGGCCUACCAAGGCGACGAUCCAUAACUGGUCUGAGAGGAUGAGCAGCCACACUGGGACUGAGACACGGCCGAGACUCCUGCGGGAGGCGGCAGUGGGGAAUAUUGGACAGUGGGGGAAAGCCUGAUCCAGCAAUGCCGGGUGAGUGAUGAAGGCCUGAGGGUUGUAAAGUUCUUUUACCCGAGAUGAUAAUGACAGUAGCGGGAGAAUAAGCACCGGCUAACUCCGUG